AGCGAACAUUGGCGGUAGGCUUAACACAUGCAAGUCGAGCGAGGCGUAAUAGUCGAGCGGCGAACGGGUGAGUAAUACUUGGGAAUCUGCCCUGAAGUGGGGGAUAACGUCCAGAAAUGGACGCUAAUACCGCAUAAUCCAUAUCGGGAAAGCGCGCUGCGCUUUAGGAUGAGCCCAAGUCUGAUUAGCUAGUUGGCGGGUAAAGGCCCACCAAGGCGACGAUCAGUAGCUGGUCUGAGAGGAUGAUCAGCCACACUGGAACUGAGACACGGUCCAGACUCCUACGGGAGGCAGCAGUGGGGAAUCUUGCGCAAUGGGGGGCAACCCUGACGCAGCCAUACCGCGUGUGUGAUGAAGGUCUUCGGAUUGUAAAGCACUUUCAGCGGGGACGACAAUGACGGUACCCGCAGAAGAAGUCACGGCUAACUUCGUGCCAGCAGCCGCGGUAAU
rnacentral:rRNA from 1 species